rnacentral:rRNA from 1 species
AUUGAACGCUGGCGGCAGGCCUAACACAUGCAAGUCGAGCGGAUGAAGGGAGCUUGCUCCUGGAUUCAGCGGCGGACGGGUGAGUAAUGCCUAGGAAUCUGCCUGGUAGUGGGGGAUAACGUCCGGAAACGGGCGCUAAUACCGCAUACGUCCUGAGGGAGAAAGUGGGGGAUCUUCGGACCUCACGCUAUCAGAUGAGCCUAGGUCGGAUUAGCUAGUUGGUGGGGUAAAGGCCUACCAAGGCGACGAUCCGUAACUGGUCUGAGAGGAUGAUCAGUCACCCUGGAACUGAGACACGGUCCAGACUCCUACGGGAGGCAGCAGUGGGGAAUAUUGGACAAGGGGCGAAAGCCUGAUCCAGCCAUGCCGCGUGUGUGAAGAAGGUCUUCGGAUUGUAAAGCACGUUAAGUUGGGAGGAAGGGCAGUAAGUUAAUACCGUGCUGUUUUGACGUUACCAACAGAAUAAGCACCGGCUAACUUCGUG